rnacentral:rRNA from 1 species
GACGAACGCUGGCGGCGUGCUUAACACAUGCAAGUCGAACGGUAAGGCCCUUCGGGGUACACGAGUGGCGAACGGGUGAGUAACACGUGGGUGAUCUGCCCUGCACUUCGGGAUAAGCCUGGGAAACUGGGUCUAAUACCGGAUAGGACCACUGCCUGCAUGGGUGGUGGUGGAAAGCUUUUGCGGUGUGGGAUGGGCCCGCGGCCUAUCAGCUUGUUGGCGGGGUGAUGGCCUACCAAGGCGACGACGGGUAGCCGGCCUGAGAGGGUGACCGGCCACACUGGGACUGAGAUACGGCCCAGACUCCUACGGGAGGCAGCAGUGGGGAAUAUUGCACAAUGGGCGCAAGCCUGAUGCUGCGACGCCGCGUGAGGGAUGACGGCCUUCGGGUUGUAAACCUCUUUCAGCACCGACGAAGCGCAAGUGACGGUAGGUGCAGAAGAAGGACCGGCCAACUACGUGCCAGCAGCCGCGGUAA